GAAAUGCGAUAAGUAAUGUGAAUUGCAGAAUUCCGUGAAUCAUCGAAUCUUUGAACGCACAUUGCGCCCUCUGGUACUCCGGGGGGCAUGCCUGUCCGAGCGUCAUUGCAACCCUCAAGCACGGCUUGUGUGUUGGGUCUCGUCUCCCUGGGGGACGUGCCCGAAAGGCAGUGGCGGCGUCGUGUUCCGGUGCCUGAGCGUAUGGGCUUUGUUCUUCCGCUCACUAGGUCCGGCCGACGGUGGCCUAUCUUGACUAUCAUCAAGUGGUUGACCUCGGAUCAGGUAGGGAUACCCGCUGAACUUAA
rnacentral:misc_RNA from 1 species